ensembl:lncRNA
UUUUUUUUUUUUUUUCCGAGAUGGAGUUUCGCUCUUGUUGCCCAGGCUGGAGUGCAGUGGCAUGAUCUUGGCUCACUGCAACCUCCACCUCCUGGGUUUGAGUGAUUCUCUUGCCUCAGCCUCCCAAGUAGCUGGCAUUACAAGCAUGCACCACUACACGCAGCUAAUUUUUGUAUUUUUAGUAGAGACGGGGUUUCUCUAUGUCCGUUAGGCUGGUCUUGAACUCCUAACCUCAGGUGAUCCACAAGCCUCGACCUCCCAAAGUGCUGGGAUUACAGGUGUGAGCCACUGUGCCCAGCCGGAGAUGUCUUAAAUAUUAACACCCUUACAGCCUGGCCAACGUGGUGAAACUCCGUCUCUACUAAAAAUAUAAAAAAUUAGCCGGGCGUGGUGGUGCACGCCUGUAGUCCCAGCUACUCAGGAGACUGAGGCAGAAGAAUCACUUGAACCCGGGAGGCAGAGGUUGCAGUGAGCUGACAUUGUGCGACUGUACUCCAGCCUGGGUGACAGAGUGACACACUCUCUCUCUCUAUAUAUACAUAUAUAAACAACCUAUACCUUUUACAAAUCGCCUUCAAAUGCCAUUAAUUUGUUCAUUAAUUUGCUCAAAAAAACUGCUGAGCAUCUACCAUGCUAGGGAGUAAGGCUACAAAGACUACGUGUCCCAGCAGCCUCCAGACUAGUUGGGGAGCAGGUGUGGGCAGACUGUGCUGGCACCUGGGACAACGGCUGAGCCAGGUGUUCAGGAAAUGAUGGAUGAAGUGAUUAAUUCUGACAGCAGCACUCUGAUAAUCUUCCCAGAACAAGCAAGACCUCAUCUGAACCUAGAAUAUAAGCCUGGGCCCCUUCCAUCUUUGCGGUGUCAGGAGCUUGUUAGAAAUGCAGAAUGUCCUGACCUAGAACUACCAAAUCAGAACUUAUGCUGUGGCAAGUUCCCGGGUGAUCCUUAUGCGCAUUCACGUUUGAGAGGCGCUGCCUUAAAAUAGCACACUUUCUGACAAGAAUGUAAACAGAACCAAAACAUAUUUCUGUGUGGUAUCUUGGUCAAAGGCUGACCUAGUGGGCUCCAUACUAGGCCAGGCAGAAGGAACAGGAAGAUAAGGUAUAGAAAGACCGGUAGCGGCAACAAGUGAAGCGUCUUCUCUCCUGUCCUGGCCCUCACCUAGCAAUGACUGUGAUUCAGCAGGUUAGGCUGCAGGUAUGCAGUGUGCAGGGAGCAAGGACAGGCAAUGAGGCUACCCCUGUGUUCCCUCCUGCCUAGAUGUCUGCCAUGACCGGCUCAGUGUAAUGGGUGCGGCUCAGAGGAAGGGAGCGGGGGAUGGCGAAGGAUGCUUCCCAUUAUCCUCAUCUAGAGACACCACCUCUGCUGUGGACCAGAUGAGUGACCAGCCACGGGGCCUCGGAGCCCAGGGCUCUGUGUGGAGAAUUCUUGGCCUCUUCUUCUUCCUCUUGAUCUUCAACACUGGUCACAGGAGAAAGUGCAGGGAGGGUUCAGGGCAGCCUGACCCGUCAGGAAGCAGACACAUUUAGGGCCAGUGUACCUGGAGGGUUCAGGGCAGCCUGACCAUCAGGAAGCA